CACUUGGCUAACCAUAAUUAUCUUAUGAAUUUAAAUUUGUUCUAUGGAUCUAAUGGUAUGGAUUGUUUCCCUUUGCUUUUAUCUGCGUUUUUACUGCUUAGUUUUGUGGUCACAGCUGCAAAUUAAAUUGGUUGUUUUCGACUGUCACGACUUCAAAGCAACCAUGUCUAUGGAAGACAAACUCUAGAAAAUUUGUUCAUAAAGGACCACAUUUCCCUCUAGUUUCUAAAUUGCCUUGAUAUCAACAUUCACAACCCUUUAGCAUCCCUUCCCAAACAAAUUGAUUAAAGCCAUAAGUGCCUAUCUUUGCAGUCCUAUUAUUUCCCUUCAAUUGCUUUUCUCCAUUCUUUCACAUGCAGCUUCAAGAGUAAAGAAACAUUCAUCAUUCUUAUCCGUUCUACUUUAUAGAACUAGCAUUAAUACCAACCCUUCUAAUCUGAAAAAUAAUUAGUGAUCAUAUUCUUUCGUAUUUCUUAACCAUCAAAAUUUACCUUAAAAGGAAUGUCGAAGAAGAAAACUCCAAGCUUCCCAUCAAUCUCUGUGACGGUAUCGAACGGAACCGAACCCUUGGCUAGGUCUUCCAGCAACAGAAUCGCGUCCGACAAAAUCUCAACUCCAUCUAACUGGAGCGUGGCGUUAACAUAAGACUCCCCACGAGCUCUGACGUAGCCGUUGUCCGAGGAGACGUACCCCAGGCGAUCCCCUCUGUACACGAUCGCGACAGCUAAUGAGUCAUAUUCAAUUGAGUAAAAGUCUCUGUUCCGGACCUUGACGGUGAGGUCGAGUUUGAUGUCGAGGGAGAUUUUGGGGCGAGUAUGGAAUUGGAGGCCCUCGAGCCGGAGGCGGACGAUAGAGAGGUUAGGGUAGGAGGGCCAGAGUAUGUAGAUGGCGGCGAUGAGGAAGGGAAGAACGGCGGCAAUGCAAAGUAGACGGCGGUGGAGGAGGCACGAAUGGCGGUGGCGGCGAUGGUAUGGUUAUACGAUGACGUAUUCGAAUGUUGUGGGAGGUUUUCAGGUGAUUGAGGGUCAGAUGGGAGCGGCUGGUGAAACGGCGAAGUGACACUGGGCUUCGGCGAGGGCACGUUUGGUUGGUCUGGUCAGCUGAAUAUUGGGAGGAUCUGUUGGAAGGGGUUGGCGAAAGAAACAACAACAAAA
rnacentral:lncRNA from 1 species